UGGGGAAUAUUGGACAAUGGGGGAAACCCUGAUCCAGCAAUGCCGCGUGAGUGAGGAAGGCCUUAGGGUUGUAAAGCUCUUUCGCCCGCGAAGAUAAUGACGGUAGCGGGAGAAGAAGCCCCGGCUAACUCCGUGCCAGCAGCCGCGGUAAUACGGAGGGGGCUAGCGUUGUUCGGAAUUACUGGGCGUAAAGCGUGCGCAGGCGGUCUUGCAAGUCAGAUGUGAAAGCCCCGGGCUUAACCUGGGAAUUGCGUUUGAAACUACAACGCUAGAGUGCAGCAGAGGGGAGUGGAAUUCCAUGUGUAGCAGUGAAAUGCGUAGAGAUGUGGAAGAACACCGAUGGCGAAGGCAGCUCCCUGGGUUGACACUGACGCUCAUGCACGAAAGCGUGGGGAGCAAACA
rnacentral:rRNA from 1 species